rnacentral:rRNA from 2 species
AGAGUCUGAUGGAGCACGCCGCGUGAGUGAAGAAGGGUUUCGGCUCGUAAAACUCUGUUGUUAAAGAAGAACAUAUCUGAGAGUAACUGUUCAGGUAUUGACGGUAUUUAACCAGAAAGCCACGGCUAACUACGUGCCAGCAGCCGCGGUAAUACGUAGGUGGCAAGCGUUGUCCGGAUUUAUUGGGCGUAAAGCGAGCGCAGGCGGUUUUUUAAGUCUGAUGUGAAAGCCUUCGGCUCAACCGAAGAAGUGCAUCGGAAACUGGGAAACUUGAGUGCAGAAGAGGACAGUGGAACUCCAUGUGUAGCGGUGAAAUGCGUAGAUAUAUGGAAGAACACCAGUGGCGAAGGCGGCUGUCUGGUCUGUAACUGACGCUGAGGCUCGAAAGUAUGGGUAGCAAACAGGAUUAGAUACCCUGGUAGUCCAUACCGUAAACGAUGAAUGCUAAGUGUUGGAGGGUUUCCGCCCUUCAGUGCUGCAGCUAACGCAUUAAGCAUUCCGCCUGGGGAGUACGGCCGCAAGGCUGAAACUCAAAGGAAUUGACGGGGGCCCGCACAAGCGGUGGAGCAUGUGGUUUAAUUCGAAGCUACGCGAAGAACCUUACCAGGUCUUGACAUACUAUGCAAAUCUAAGAGAUUAGACGUUCCCUUCGGGGACAUGGAUACAGGUGGUGCAUGGUUGUCGUCAGCUCGUGUCGUGAGAUGUUGGGUUAAGUCCCGCAACGAGCGCAACCCUUAUUAUCAGUUGCCAGCAUUA